ACACUCCGACUUCGCAAGUACUUGACUAUACCCAGAAGUCUUCCGUUACUGAAUUAAAAAUUUAGUUAGUUCAGUUCCAAAGCACAGUGAGUUGCUUGCAAGUUACUGAGGCAAUCAUAGGUCUAAAGGACACUUAUACCUAUAUCCCAUCAGAGACAUUCUCGACAGCAGAAUGCUGUAGUGUUGAUCACAUUUAAUGAUGAUGUACCCUU
rnacentral:lncRNA from 1 species